AGCAACGUGACAUGCUCCAUUCCUGAGUUUACUUGUGUUUCAUCUGCAAAGGUGGCUUUGCUGUUAAUUUGGGUUGCUGAUAUAAGGAAACAUGUGAAGAAUUUAGAAUUUGGGAAGGGACACGUAUAUAAAGCUGUGCAUGUAACCGAUUUUUAUUUCCUUUCUUCACCUUUGGCCUUAUAUAGGAUGUAUUAGGAUUUGUUCUGUUCACCUACUACCAUGUCAGAUUGUGCAAAGAACCUUGUUUUUACAAUUUAAAACUCUUGCCCCUGUUGACUAUUGAAUUAGAUCAUAUAAAUAUUGAUCGGGUUAAUCUGA